rnacentral:rRNA from 1 species
AGGAGCUCAAAUUUGAAAUCUGGGGUCGCCGACCUCCGAGUUGUAAUUUGGAGAGGCAUCUUCGGGGUGGAGCGCCGGCCCCAUGUUCCUUGGAACAGGACGUCGCAGAGGGUGAGAAUCCCGUGCCAGGCCGGCCGCCUCCGCCCCAUCGAGGGGCCUUCGACGAGUCGAGUUGUUUGGGAAUGCAGCUCCAAGUGGGUGGUAAAUUUCAUCUAAAGCUAAAUACCGGCGGGAGACCGAUAGCGCACAAGUAGAGUGAUCGAAAGAUGAAAAGCACUUUGAAAAUAGAGUCAAAAAGUACGUGAAAUUGUUGAAAGGGAAGCGCUUGAGACCAGACCCAGACCCGGGCAAACACCGCGCCCCUCGGGGCCGUGCAAUUGCCCGUGGCUGGGCCAGCAUCAGUCGGCCCGGCGGGACAAAUGCGAGGGGAAUGUGUCUCCCCUCGGGGAGUGUUUAUUAGCCCCUCGCCCAAUGCCGCCCGAGCCGACUGUGGACCGCGCCUCGGCUAGGAUGCUGGCUUAAUGGCCUUCAGCGACCCGUCUUGAAACACGGA